GCGUCGGGGCUGUGAGAGAGCCGCGCGGGACGGGGCGAGCGGCCUGAGGCAACGGGAGCUGGGCUCUGGGCGUGUGGGUUUUCCCUUCUCGUCUUUGUUUGUUUGCUUUUGAACGCUGAGGGAAAGUUGCUUGUGCGCGCUGCAAAGCGUGGCGUUGUCCUACGGACCGUUAUUUUUAAGGCUUGAAGAGCAAGGUUGGAUUAGAGGAAGUUUCUGCUCUUUGCUUCGGUCUCCUCCGGUGCAGAGAAUGACAGAGAGAACAGCAUUCCCAAAGAGAACGUGGAUUUCCUGCCUUUAUUCCCGUGUUAUUGACAUCGUUUCACCCACAGCCAGAGAAAAAAGCAAGCCAACAAACUGAGCACUGUUGAACAUUGUUCUGCUGAACAGUGAAGAAACAUUGAACACUGAUCACUGUCGCUUCAUAGAUCACAGGAUAGCCUUUAGUGUUAACAGCUAAAUCCACUAGAUAGUUAUACAGAUUACUUACCACGCAAUAAUUAGCUUUUAAUUCAGCGGUGUGUCUGUGCAAAAACACCCUGAAGAAAUGUAUUCACAACUUAUUUUAUCAAAUGAGAACAAGCCCAAUUGCAGCAGCCACAGAUGCAGAAAUGAAGGAAGAGAGCUGCUUACCUUUUGAAGUCCUCAAGUAGGUAGGGA